CUUAUCGUCAUCAACACCGUAUUCGUCCGCUACUUUGUGGCGGUAUGAUAGUUGGCAUUCAUUUUCACUGUUUUACUGUGGAUUAUUCGACCUUCUGUUCUCAUCACGAUACCCGACGUGUACAGUGUGCAUGUAACAUAUCUCACAGCCGCUGCGGACAAGUUCAUUGAACUGUCGUGUUGUAGUGCGUCCUGCCUCAGCGUGCUAACGCGACGUGCUGUCAUCGACUGGGUGCGCUUGCAUAGUCGCCGACCGGCACCAACUUGCAGGGCAGCAGGUCGUCCAUGACGGCAAGGGCGACAUAUUCUUUGUUCAUGUAUGAAACCAGGCCACUACAACGUGACCGCGCCGCAACAGAAUGGAAACAAGGAAAGGAAGAUGGCACAUGCGAGUUGCCUUGUGGUGGCGUCCCAGUGACGUGGACGAUGCCGGGAGAAAUCACUCAACAGCACAGUUGGGUGACCAGGCCCGAGGGAUGACCUGCCUGAUGCGGCAACAGCACGCAACACCCGGGCUGCUGCAACAGCUCCAACGUGGAACUCGACUAGGGGCAGUCGACAUAGGCACAAGACCAAACGGAUUGGAGGACAUUCGCACAGCUGCGAGUACUGCCCGUACAGGACGUAUUACAAGUCUCACCUGGAAAGACACAUUCGGACUCACACAGGAGAGAAACCCUAUGCGUGUCACCUUUGCCAGUCGGCAUUUUCGGAUCCCAGUGCCUACAGUCGUCAUAUGCGAGGACACAUCGAUGAAUCAAACGCUCCGCCUGGGUCAUUUACGUGCGGCCCGUAUUA